rnacentral:rRNA from 1 species
AUUGAACGCUGGCGGCAGGCCUAACACAUGCAAGUCGAGCGGAUGAAGGGAGCUUGCUCCUGGAUUCAGCGGCGGACGGGUGAGUAAUGCCUAGGAAUCUGCCUGGUAGUGGGGGACAACGUUUCGAAAGGAACGCUAAUACCGCAUACGUCCUACGGGAGAAAGCAGGGGACCUUCGGGCCUUGCGCUAUCAGAUGAGCCUAGGUCGGAUUAGCUAGUUGGUGAGGUAAUGGCUCACCAAGGCGACGAUCCGUAACUGGUCUGAGAGGAUGAUCAGACACACUUGAACUGAGACACGGUCCAGACUCCUACGGGAGGCAGCAGUGGGGAAUAUUGGACAAUGGGCGAAAGCCUGAUCCAGCCAUGCCGCGUGUGUGAAGAAGGUCUUCGGAUUGUAAAGCACUUUAAGUUGGGAGGAAGGGUUGUAGAUUAAUACUCUGCAAUUUUGACGUUACCGACAGAAUAAGCACCGGCUAACUCUGUGCCAGCCGCCGCGGUAAUAC